CGAAGAAUUCGGAAGCGUGCUCCGCCGCGUCGCGCGUGCCGGAUGGACAUUAUACUUUUUCCGUCGGCUUACGAUUAGUUCGCCGUGGGAAAUCCUUCUUUCCGAUUCACGCGACAGCGAUCGGAAGGAAAACGAAACGAGAUGGACGGAACCUUGCUCGAAACGUAUCGGCGUGCGCUGGAAAAAUUCGAGGCGUUUUUCCAACGGGUCCGAAUCGUCCUUGACGAGGUCAUUUUGCGGAGAGAGCCGACGGUCCGCUAGUUGCAGUCCGGCGAUUUUGUAUCGCGUUGCGUUUUCCGCACACGGGAAUCUAAACGCCGUGGAGACAUCGGUCGCCGAUAUAUAUACGCACACACGUGGAUGUGUGAAUAUUCUGGGCCUGUAUUGCCUACGACAUGUACUGUAUACAAUGUACAUAGAAACGUUUGGCCAUAUUACCCUCGGGCUCGAAUCGUUUGUAUCCCCUUUCGCCGUAACACACCUAUCGCUGCACACGGUGUGUUGGAAGUUGUUCGUGUGGCGUAGUGCGACGGUGUUCGUGUUUCACAUUUCUGAUUCACUAGCUCCGUUAACCUUCGCCAGUCGCGUUCCUCGUCACUCUCCCCGCCUGACGGAGUGUCGAAAUAGUGGUGGUAGUGGAACGCCUAGUGGUGGUGGUGGUAGUAGCGGCGAGUACAAGACGUCUUCAUAUUCACCCGUUGUUACAACACGUGUUUGUUCGUGGGUAACCUUAUUCGAGACAACGAAUUUAUUUUACAUUCAUCUUUUU
rnacentral:misc_RNA from 1 species